UACGAAGGGGGCUAGCGUUGCUCGGAAUCACUGGGCGUAAAGGGUGCGUAGGCGGGUCUUUAAGUCAGGGGUGAAAUCCUGGAGCUCAACUCCAGAACUGCCUUUGAUACUGGCGACCUUGAGUCCGGGAGAGGUGAGUGGAACUGCGAGUGUAGAGGUGAAAUUCGUAGAUAUUCGCAAGAACACCAGUGGCGAAGGCGGCUCACUGGCCCGGUACUGACGCUGAGGUGCGAAAGCGUGGGGAGCAAGCAGG
rnacentral:rRNA from 1 species